AUCAGCAGAAGCUGCAUCCAUUAAGAUAAGAAAAGGAAUGUCCUGCUUGGACAGUAAAGGAUCCUGUAGGGAACAAGAAGACCCCAGACCCAAAUAUUGCUAUUGGACUGAACCAUCGUGUGAUGAGAGGGGAACUUAGAUUGUGUGCCUGGAGUCAUUCUGGACUCUAUUGAAUAAGCAGCUCUUCAAGAAGAUAAAGUUGGUUUACACGGACAGGAAGAUGGCAGUCUUCCUUUGCAAUCUCAAGAUCUGAAAAGGACAGGUUUGAAUUAACUUCACUUUCUCUCCACUUAAAGGGGAAACCAGUGGAUUCCUGUGUGAGCCUUUGAUCACAGAAUAACACAGGGUGGAAGAAACCUCUCCAGGUCACAAGUCAAACCUCCUGUGCGAAGCAGGUCCAGCUGGAGCAGGUUGCUCAGGAUCCUGUCCAGUUGCAGAUGUUCACUGUUCUGACUAUUUGAACAUUCAUUUGAUGCAGCAAAGCAUGAAAGAAAACAUUUUAAAAUAGGUCCAUAUGUUUAUAAAAACAGCAAACCUCGGUGGUGCAUACAAUACCUAUAUCAGCUGGAACUUUUAAAAAUAAGUAAGCAAUUGUCUAGACUUCCAGUUGCCCUUCCUCAUUUUGAUUGAACAAAGUUUAUAAAAUUGUGCUCUCCGGAAAGAUUUCCUAGAACAAAAAGUUACAUUAUUUCAGUGUGGUGAAACGCUGAUUUUUCUUUUCCAGCCAAAUAAAAUUUCUUGCAAGAAUAUUAUCUUUUUCUGUUUUAUAAGAGUAUGGAAAAACAGAUGAAAUAGUUGAGUGUAGUUAUAUUUCACCCCAGAACAACAGCUUGGAAAAUGUAGCUGCCUUUUGUAACAGUGACUGUGGGUCCAACUUCUGGUGAGAGGUAUAAUACAAAGGUUUAUGUCUCAGCCAGGAAUUCUCUGCUUUAAAACUCCCAUUGGACUAUGGCCAGGUUUGGCACACUUUUUUCCUGAAGCUGAUUUUAAACAGACAUUAUCUUUUCAAAUAACCUGGCUGAAAUUCUGGCCCUAUUGAAGCUAAUGACUGAAUUCCUCAACAGAGGCAAGAUUUCAGCACAUCCUUAAACCAGUUUAUAAAACAUUUCUUUACAGUACCUUUGAAAUUUCCAGCCUUUUCCCACCUGCCUACUGAGCCUACCAUAAUUUAUUAUUAUACACCUAACCCUCUGGGACACAUCUUAUAAACCUUUACAGCCACACCCAGAAGUCUCUUGCAGAUGUUUAAUAUUUUUAGUUGACUUCCUAGGAAAAUGAUGUUUAUAAUCAUGCUGCCUGUUCUUCUGUUUGUUUUUCCCAUCGUCUU